rnacentral:rRNA from 1 species
UACGAAGGGUGCUAGCGUUGUUCGGAAUUACUGGGCGUAAAGAGCGCGUAGGCGGUCGUACUAGUCAGGGGUGAAAUCCCACAGCUUAACUGUGGAACUGCCUUUGAAACUGUGCGGCUGGAGUGUGUGAGGGGAUAGCGGAAUUCCUAAUGUAGAGGUGAAAUUCGUAGAUAUUAGGAGGAACACCGGUGGCGAAGGCGGCUAUCUGGCGCACAACUGACGCUGAGGCGCGAAAGCGUGGGGAUCAAACAGG